AUACCUGCUCUCAAUGCUCUUCUUCAAAACUGAACACACAUAAGCUCUGUUACGAAACCCAUUAGACAUCUGCUCACAUCUCCUUUUUCAUCUCACUCUUACUCACCUUUUUUACAGACUGAUUAUACAUUCAAUUUGUGUGUGUAUGUGUGUGUUCUUGUAUAUAUGGUUUAUGAGCACACAAAUGCAUAUAAUGACGGGUAUUACAACGUAAACAUGGUUUAUGAGGACACUUCCUGUGUCCUCGUAAACCAAAUGGCUUAAAAAACAUACUAAACUGUGUUUUUUUUUUUUUUUUUAUCAAAAAAUUCAGACAGUUUCCUGUGAUGGGUAGGUUUAGGUUUAGGGGUCAGUGUAGGGGGAUAGAAUGUACAGUAUAAAAACCAUUACGUCUGUGGAGAGUCCCUGUAAACCGCAUAUACAAGUAUGUGUGUGUGUUUUCCACUUUUGGAAAGUCAUGGAAACUCAUUAACGGAUUAUAUAUUUCUUUAUCUCAUUUGGAGAUUGUAAAACUUAAAAACAACAGGCCCUAUUUAUUAUGCUCUCCCAUGUAGGCUACCUGUAUAAAAGUUUGCUAUAGUUUACUUCCUCAUUCCAGAAAUGUGAAAAUGGUCCAUUCUAGGCCCAGCUCCACAGGGGGACCAGGGUGAGCCUGGCCUACCCAAUCAGGAGCUUGGCCCACCCUGGCCCCACAGCAAAUAACGACUUGCAAAAUUGGUGCGAUGUUCAGUUCAGCUUCAGAUUUAGAGGGAGAUUAUGCUUUUCAGCCGCUUGGUAGCUAUUAAAUAUCAGCUUGUUAUUUAGAAACUAGAAAGCAGUAUUAGAAAGUGACCGCGAUCUUCAUAAACAUUCAAACGAUUUUAAACCAUUCAAGCGCAAGAAGUAACUCAAUUUGGUACUCGCAUGCUGUUUUCUGUGCGCAUACGCACAAAGAGCGGGCAGCUGCGCCAGACAGACAGCGCGCCAGCACUGAACUGAGUUCAAUUUUGUGUCUUACCACACUUAAUCGGACGAAUACACACAAAAUUACGUCAAAAUGGCCAUUUUGGCGAGUAUCCUCGUAAGCACAGUCUUAAUGGAGUUAAAAUAAAAAGUCUUAAUGAAUCUAAAGUGACAGUAGCUUAAUAUACUUGCUGAUGUCUUGUGUCAUUAACGUUAAUUAAAGAACAAGAAAAUAAAAACAAACUAAUCAAAUCUGCUCUUGUCUGACUUCUUUAGCUUUAAUAGGAUUAAUAUAUAGCCUUUAUUUAAUUUAUACAUUUUACUAUUUUGUACCUGAAUACUGUUAGAUUUAUUUGUGCUAUUUCUUGUCAUUUGUUAAUUUGUUCUUAUUUAAGACCUGCCCCUUUUGUUAUAAAAUAAAGUUGCAAAAUCAUUUAUGGGGAACAAAUAAAAUAUUGUAAAUAAUAUUAAAGCUUAACGUCACUUGGCCCACCUUACAUCUCAAAGCUGGAGCCAGGCAUGGUCCAUUCAGUUUCUAUUUUAUGUUUAUCUAUAGGCCACAAAAUCACAUCAGCACACGUGCUCACACUAAAGCUGGAUCCUAACAUAGCAAAACUGUUGUUCUUUCAGGAUCUUCUUACCUAUCAUAACCUUUGUUUUUUUGGCAAUCUGCUGUACUGGCUUCUGUAAAAUGCUCCAGCGGGUCCGUAAGGAGCGCAUAGAGCACCUGCAGGCUCAAGCCAUGGAUCAAUCGUCUGUCUACGUCAUUCCGAUCUCUCUGUCCGAUGAUGACCUGCACAGACCGCCGCGCUACAGCACCGUACAGUUCUACGAGCCCCCUCCUGCUUAUAACGAGUUACAUAUAAAGGCAGAAAGCCCUCUGGAACCCCCUCCUGAAUAUUCAGAGUCUGUCUCUGCCUCACCUUCACAUUCAUGAAUCAUGAUCACACCAAACGUCAGAGUAUCUCAAGCACUUGGACUGGUUAAAGGAAAAAAAGAGGCAAAGUGGGAUUCUCGUGACUUUUUCUAAGGACUAUGAUUCAUUCUACCUAUGCAAAGGAUAGUGAGGAAUUUAAAUAGGGGGAAGAAAAUGUAACAGACGUGAUGAUCUGUGAUUCUGUUGGGAUUUUGAACAUGUCUUACAGGGUCAUGAACUAUUUCACACUAUGAGCAGAAGGAACUUGGUUAAAAAAUUUAAAAAUGUAUAUAUGUUUUUAGUGAAUAUUUAUAAAUUUUGCACACGCUAGCUAAACCCUUUUUGUUAACUUUGUGAAAUGAAAUGUGUUAAUUUAUAAUAAAUGUUGUAAAUGGUUGACUUGCUGUAAAUUGUAUAGUUAAAACUGUUUAAAUAAAAUAAAAAUGUUGUAUAAACACUGGUUUUAAA